rnacentral:rRNA from 1 species
GAUGAACGCUGGCGGCGUGCCUAAUACAUGCAAGUCGAGCGAACGGACGAGAAGCUUGCUUCUCUGAUGUUAGCGGCGGACGGGUGAAUAACACGUGGAUAACCUACCUAUAAGACUGGGAUAACUUCGGGAAACCGGAGCUAAUACCGGAUAAUAUUUUGAACCGCAUGGUUCAAAAGUGAAAGACGGUCUUGCUGUCACUUAUAGAUGGAUCCGCGCUGCAUUAGCUAGUUGGUAAGGUAACGGCUUACCAAGGCAACGAUGCAUAGCCGACCUGAGAGGGUGAUCGGCCACACUGGAACUGAGACACGGUCCAGACUCCUACGGGAGGCAGCAGUAGGGAAUCUUCCGCAAUGGGCGAAAGCCUGACGGAGCAACGCCGCGUGAGUGAUGAAGGUCUUCGGAUCGUAAAACUCUGUUAUUAGGGAAGAACAUAUGCGUAAGUAACUGUGCACAUCUUGACGGUACCUAAUCAGAAAGCCACGGCUAACUACGUG